UCCAGACUCCUACGGGAGGCAGCAGUGGGGGAUAUUGCACAAUGGGGGGAACCCUGAUGCAGCGACGCCGCGUGGGUGAAGGAGCGUUUCGGCGCGUAAAGCCCUAUCGGCAGGGAAGAAAAUGACGGUACCUGAAGAAGAAGCCCCGGCUAACUACGUGCCAGCAGCCGCGGUAAUACGUAGGGGGCAAGCGUUAUCCGGAUUUACUGGGGGUAAAGGGGGCGCAGACGGCGAUGCAAGCCAGGAGUGAAAGCCCGGGGCCCAACCCCGGGACUGCUCUUGGAACUGCGUGGCUGGAGUGCAGGAGGGGCAGGCGGAAUUCCUGGUGUAGCGGUGAAAUGCGUAGAUAUCAGGAGGAACACCGGUGGCGAAGGCGGCCUGCUGGACGGCAACUGACGUUGAGGCCCGAAAGCGUGGGGAGCAAACAGGAUUAGAUACCCCGGUACAG
rnacentral:rRNA from 1 species